UUUCCUCUUAGCACAGGUUUCAUUAUGUUCCAAAAGUUUGGCUGAUAUUCUCUCACUGGAGAGAAAAUGAUGAUCUCAUCUGUUUUCCGGUGUUAGAGCACUCCCCAGUGGCAAGCUCUCCUUUGGAAGGGGAAGAACAUAGGAAAACAUGUGGGAAUUCUCAUUUCUACAUCCAUGUCUCUCCUAUUUGGCCCCAGACUACAGUGGAGUCAUCUUGACUAAAUGAGAUUGUUGAGGUAAACUCACUUCUGUGUUACUCCAAAACUAUUUUAAAGUAUAGCCAGAAGCAUUGAAUAUCUUGAUUAUUGUGAACACAGACCAUCCUUGUCUCUCACAGCAAUGAAAUAUACAAAAUAUUCUAAACUGCUACAGGUUUCUUCUGUAGUUCAAAUGUGAAAUGCCCCUUAUAGGCUCACGUUAGACUUGGUAAGCUAGCAGUGAUAUUUGGAAAGGUUGUGGAAACUAGGAGAAGUCACCUCACUAGAAGAAGCAGAUCACUGGAGGCAGGCCCUGAACCUUUUCAGCAGGUUUACAUUUCCUAAGGUGCUGCUUUCUGACUGCCAUUGCACUGUGACUGAAAGUCUACAUUCUGCCACUAUGCCUUCACUGUUUCCUACCAUGAUGGAAUAAAAACCUCCUAUUCUCCCUGCCAUGCCUUCGGUACUGUGACAGAUUGUAUCCCCUCAAACUGUAAGCCAAAUGAACACUCCCCACUUUAUGUUGCUUCUUGUCAGGUAUUUGAUCACAGCUACACGUAUCUACCAUAAUAACAAACCUUUUUAAAUGUCAGGGACUUUCUGUAUUGUUGAUACUCAAAAGGCUUCAUAUAUUUUUAUGGUGUUGCACUUUGACCAUGAAACUACAAACCCUGUUUUGAAUACUUGUGUCUCACACAAAGAUGCUAUUUUGGGAGGCUUUUAUAGAACCUGUAGGAAGUUGUGCUUCCCUGGCAAAAACAGGCCAGUAAAAAACAGGUCCAAUUCCUGCCAUACCAUCGGCUUCCUGUUUGUUCCAGUGUAAUGUGAAUGGCCUCACCAAGUGUUUCCCACUAUGAUAGCCUGAAACUGUGAGUUCAAAUAAACAAUUCCUCCCUUACAUGUUUCUGUAGACAAGUAGGAUCACAAUACUAUAAAAAACUAA